ACUAAGCGUACACGGUGGAUGCCCUGGCAGUCAGAGGCGAUGAAGGACGUGCUAAUCUGCGAUAAGCGUCGGUAAGGUGAUAUGAACCGUUAUAACCGGCGAUUUCCGAAUGGGGAAACCCAGUGUGAUUCGUCACACUAUCAUUAACUGAAUCCAUAGGUUAAUGAGGCGAACCGGGGGAACUGAAACAUCUAAGUACCCCGAGGAAAAGAAAUCAACCGAGAUUCCCCCAGUAGCGGCGAGCGAACGGGGAGNAGCCCAGAGCCUGAAUCAGUGUGUGUGUUAGUGGAAGCGUCUGGAAAGGCGCGCGAUACAGGGUGACAGCCCCGUACACAAAAAUACACAUAUUGUGAGCUCGAUGAGUAGGGCGGGACACGUGGUAUCCUGUCUGAAUAUGGGGGGACCAUCCUCCAAGGCUAAAUACUCCUGACUGACCGAUAGUGAACCAGUACCGUGAGGGAAAGGCGAAAAGAACCCCGGCGAGGGGAGUGAAAAAGAACCUGAAACCGUGUACGUACAAGCAGUGGGAGCACGCUUAGGCGUGUGACUGCGUACCUUUUGUAUAAUGGGUCAGCGACUUAUAUUCUGUAGCAAGGUUAACCGAAUAGGGGAGCCGAAGGGAAACCGAGUCUUAACUGGGCGUUAAGUUGCAGGGUAUAGACCCGAAACCCGGUGAUCUAGCCAUGGGCAGGUUGAAGGUUGGGUAACACUAACUGGAGGACCGAACCGACUAAUGUUGAAAAAUUAGCGGAUGACUUGUGGCUGGGGGUGAAAGGCCAAUCAAACCGGGAGAUAGCUGGUUCUCCCCGAAAGCUAUUUAGGUAGCGCCUCGUGAAUUCAUCUCCGGGGGUAGAGCACUGUUUCGGCAAGGGGGUCAUCCCGACUUACCAACCCGAUGCAAACUGCGAAUACCGGAGAAUGUUAUCACGGGAGACACACGGCGGGUGCUAACGUCCGUCGUGAAGAGGGAAACAACCCAGACCGCCAGCUAAGGUCCCAAAGUCAUGGUUAAGUGGGAAACGAUGUGGGAAGGCCCAGACAGCCAGGAUGUUGGCUUAGAAGCAGCCAUCAUUUAAAGAAAGCGUAAUAGCUCACUGGUCGAGUCGGCCUGCGCGGAAGAUGUAACGGGGCUAAACCAUGCACCGAAGCUGCGGCAGCGACGCUUAUGCGUUGUUGGGUAGGGGAGCGUUCUGUAAGCCUGCGAAGGUGUGCUGUGAGGCAUGCUGGAGGUAUCAGAAGUGCGAAUGCUGACAUAAGUAACGAUAAAGCGGGUGAAAAGCCCGCUCGCCGGAAGACCAAGGGUUCCUGUCCAACGUUAAUCGGGGCAGGGUGAGUCGACCCCUAAGGCGAGGCCGAAAGGCGUAGUCGAUGGGAAACAGGUUAAUAUUCCUGUACUUGGUGUUACUGCGAAGGGGGGACGGAGAAGGCUAUGUUGGCCGGGCGACGGUUGUCCCGGUUUAAGCGUGUAGGCUGGUUUUCCAGGCAAAUCCGGAAAAUCAAGGCUGAGGCGUGAUGACGAGGCACUACGGUGCUGAAGCAACAAAUGCCCUGCUUCCAGGAAAAGCCUCUAAGCAUCAGGUAACAUCAAAUCGUACCCCAAACCGACACAGGUGGUCAGGUAGAGAAUACCAAGGCGCUUGAGAGAACUCGGGUGAAGGAACUAGGCAAAAUGGUGCCGUAACUUCGGGAGAAGGCACGCUGAUAUGUAGGUGAAGUCCCUUGCGGAUGGAGCUGAAAUCAGUCGAAGAUACCAGCUGGCUGCAACUGUUUAUUAAAAACACAGCACUGUGCAAACACGAAAGUGGACGUAUACGGUGUGACGCCUGCCCGGUGCCGGAAGGUUAAUUGAUGGGGUCAGCGCAAGCGAAGCUCUUGAUCGAAGCCCCGGUAAACGGCGGCCGUAACUAUAACGGUCCUAAGGUAGCGAAAUUCCUUGUCGGGUAAGUUCCGACCUGCACGAAUGGCGUAAUGAUGGCCAGGCUGUCUCCACCCGAGACUCAGUGAAAUUGAACUCGCUGUGAAGAUGCAGUGUACCCGCGGCAAGACGGAAAGACCCCGUGAACCUUUACUAUAGCUUGACACUGAACAUUGAGCCUUGAUGUGUAGGAUAGGUGGGAGGCUUUGAAGUGUGGACGCCAGUCUGCAUGGAGCCGGCCUUGAAAUACCACCCUUUAAUGUUUGAUGUUCUAACGUGGACCCGUGAUCCGGGUUGCGGACAGUGUCUGGUGGGUAGUUUGACUGGGGCGGUCUCCUCCUAAAGAGUAACGGAGGAGCACGAAGGUUGGCUAAUCCUGGUCGGACAUCAGGAGGUUAGUGCAAUGGCAUAAGCCAGCUUGACUGCGAGCGUGACGGCGCGAGCAGGUGCGAAAGCAGGUCAUAGUGAUCCGGUGGUUCUGAAUGGAAGGGCCAUCGCUCAACGGAUAAAAGGUACUCCGGGGAUAACAGGCUGAUACCGCCCAAGAGUUCAUAUCGACGGCGGUGUUUGGCACCUCGAUGUCGGCUCAUCACAUCCUGGGGCUGAAGUAGGUCCCAAGGGUAUGGCUGUUCGCCAUUUAAAGUGGUACGCGAGCUGGGUUUAGAACGUCGUGAGACAGUUCGGUCCCUAUCUGCCGUGGGCGCUGGAGAACUGAGGGGGGCUGCUCCUAGUACGAGAGGACCGGAGUGGACGCAUCACUGGUGUUCGGGUUGUCAUGCCAAUGGCACUGCCCGGUAGCUAAAUGCGGAAGAGAUAAGUGCUGAAAGCAUCUAAGCACGAAACUUGCCCCGAGAUGAGUUCUCCCUGACCCUUUAAGGGUCCUGAAGGAACGUUGAAGACGACGACGUUGAUAGGCCGGGUGUGUAAGCGCAGCGAUGCGUUGAGCUAACCGGUACUAAUGAACCGUGAGGCUUAACC
rnacentral:rRNA from 1 species